AGAAGUUUUUUAACCUAAAGGUGACGCUCAAACAAUUUGCACAUACCACAAUUAUUCCAGCGGGUAUCUACGACUUCCCACCAACACGGGUAUUAGGUAACUUUGCUAACAAGAAUUAGGUAAAGGGGCAAAAAUCACACACUUCAUUGACCGUUAGGCCACAUCCUUGGGUACAAGACUUUUGUAGGAGACGUAACAUUCAUUGUAUUCAAUAUUCGCGCUUUAAACAAUAUAUUAAAGGAGUGAUAUUACAAAUUACUUACCAAAAGGAGCCACUUAACUCAAAAAGAAAUGACUUCCCCACUCUUUUCUUCUAUUUUGACAAGUCAAGUUUAUACUCUAUACAAGGUCUUUUGUGUCUUUCACAGUAAUAUUUCUUCAAGCCUAUAACAGGAUUAGGAAAGCAUUCAAGGUUAUGGAUCAACAUCUGUCUUGACGACUCAAAGAUAGAGUAAAAGAAAGGCAUUCCACGAUCAAACGAGACAUAAUCUAAGACUACCUAAGACUAUUUUUUUCCUUUUAAAUUUUUGAUGACCCAGAAAUUCCAAAGGGCAAGUUGCACGCGAUUUGAAACAUAGUGGAUAAUAGGUCUACCCCUCUACCCUUCAUCACUCUUUUUGUCUGAGGUAGGGCUCGAACUCAUGACGUGUGCCUAAUCCACACAUCAAACGUUACGCUCUUACUACUACACUAAAGCCCCGGGGGCCUAAGUUUCCACUUCAACAAUCCAGCAGGAAUUUCCCAAAUGUAGGGAAAAUAACCAUAUCAACAAUUUGGGAAACAUUUUUCCUUUC
rnacentral:lncRNA from 1 species